rnacentral:rRNA from 1 species
UACGUAGGGUGCAAGCGUUGUCCGGAUUUAUUGGGCCUAAAGCAUCCGUAGCCGGUCUUGCAAGUCUUCCGUUAAAUCCACCUGCUUAACAGAUGGGCUGCGGAAGAUACUACAAGACUAGGAGGCGGGAGAGGCAAGCGGUACUCAGUGGGUAGGGGUAAAAUCCUCUGAUCCAUUGAAGACCACCAGUGGCGAAGGCGGCUUGCCAGAACGCGCUCGACGGUGAGGGAUGAAAGCUGGGGGAGCAAACCGG